GACGAACGCUGGCGGCGUGGAUUAGGCAUGCAAGUCGAACGGUAGAGUUCCUUCGGGAGCUUGAGAGUGGCGAACGGGUGAGUAACGCGUAGGUUAUCUACCCUCAAAUUGGGGACAACCCAGGGAAACUUGGGCUAAUACCGAAUGAGAGCAUCUGUAAUGGAUGUUUAAAAGAUGGCAGUAAUGCUGUUGUUUGAGGAUGAGCCUGCGUCCCAUUAGUUAGUUGGUAAGGUAAUGGCUUACCAAGGCGAUGAUAGGUAGGCGGCCUUAACGGGUGGUCGCCCACACUGGGAUUGAGAUACGGCCCAGACUCCUACGGGAGGCAGCAGUCGAGAAUAGUCUACAAUGGUCGAAAGACUGAUAGUGCGACGCCGCGUGAACGAAGAAGCCCUUCGGGGUGUAAAGUUCUUUUAUAUGUGAGCAAUGCCUUUUAUGUGAAUAGCAUGAGAGGAGCGAUAUUAGCAUAUGAAUAAGCAACGGCUAACUCCGUG
rnacentral:rRNA from 1 species